UUGGAGGGCAAGUCUGGUGCCCGCAGCCGCGGUAAUUCCAGCUCCAAUAGCGUAUAUUAAAGUUGUUGCAGUUAAAGAGCUCGUAGUUGAAUUUCGGGAUCAGAGUGUCGGUCGUGCCUCGGUACGCACUGGUAUUAUUGGUUCCUACCUUCUGAAGAACCGCGAUGUCGUUAAUUUGGUGUCGUGGGGAAUCAGGACUGUUACUUUGAAAAAAUUAGAGUGUUUAAAGCAGGCUUACGCUUGAAUACAUUAGCAUGGAAUAAUGAAAUAGGACGUUUGAUUCUAUUUUGCUGGUUUCUAGGAUUGACGUAAUGAUUAAUAGGGAUAGUCGGGGGCAUUAGUAUUCAAUUGUCAGAGGUGAAAUUCUUGGAUUUAUUGAAGACUAACUACUGCGAAAGCAUUUGCCAAGGAUGUUUUCAUUAAUCAAGAACGAAAGUUAGGGGAUCGAAGACGAUCAGAUACCGUCGUAGUCUUAACCAUAAACUAUGCCGACUAGGAAUCAGACGAUGUUAAUUUUUUAAUGACUCGUUUGGCACCUUACGGGAAACCAAAGUGUUUGGGUUC
rnacentral:rRNA from 1 species